rnacentral:rRNA from 1 species
UACAGGGGGGGGCAAGCGUUGUUCGGAAUUACUGGGCGUAAAGGGCUCGUAGGUGGCCAACUAAGUCAGACGUGAAAUCCCUCAGCUUAACCGGGGAACUGCGUCUGAUACUGGAUGGCUUGAGUUUGGGAGAGGGAUGCGGAAUUCCAGGUGUAGCGGUGAAAUGCGUAGAUAUCUGGAGGAACACCGGUGGCGAAGGCGGCAUCCUGGACCAACACUGACGCUGAGUGAGCGAAAGCCAGGGGAGCAAAACGGGG